rnacentral:lncRNA from 1 species
ACACCGGGGGUACGACCCCCUACAAAACCUCGAAAGUGAUUAUUAUGUUUUGAUUUCCAUAGUAUUCGCGGUAAUUUGAUGUGUUUUCGACAAAAGAAGAUGUAUGCGUGUUUCUUUUUUCUCCUAGAAACAAAAGAUAACAUCAAUACAUGCAUCCGGUGAUCAAGAAAACAAUGCAACGGAUUUUAUUUGCGUGUAAAGUUGUUUGCAAGUGCGGCGUCAAAACAGGUAGAUCGGGUUGGAGUUGGCUUAGACAAACCCAGCUGUUUUCUUUCUCGAAACAGGUGAAACCACGCAACCGGGAUCAAAUAAGAAGACCAUUAUGAAGCUAGAGGCAUGACCUACACCUCUCUAAGCUGCAACCAUUUUUGUUGCCAUAGAAAAUAAAAAUAUUUGUCACCUAAAUUCUCAAGGAAAGGUGGCAAAUUUAUGAAUAAUUUUCAGAGGUCAUGUAGUAAAUUCUAAUAGUUUCAUUCUCUUAAUGUUUAUGAUCUAGAGUAAACUGAGUGGAAUGUUUAGGUAAACAGUAAAAAUUUCUCUGUAAUUGCCUCUUUCACAUCCACUGUGUAAGUGUUGAGUUCAACUCUAAUCAUCAAUCUUUUUUUUUUUUUUUUCAUUUUCCAUUGCCAAAUGGCAACUCUGUUAGAAAAUAUCUGAGCUUGAAGCAGUGACCUUGACAUUUGGUAACCAGGAAAACUGAAAGCUUUUCUAUCCAAUUAUCAUAUACAACAAAGGAAGUUAAAAAGCAGUAAGACUUCUGUUCAAAGUAAUUUGUUAACCAAAUUAAAGGCAUCGGAAGUUACAAUGUACAGUUAUGGUACAUUCAAAGUCUUCGAUACUUUCACUUCUAAGAUCCUCAUAUCAAUUCUCCAAACUGUCAUAUAUUUUGUAAAAAUUUAGCUUGGAGAACAAUUGUAACAUCAAAUAAUGUAUUCUAUUUGAUAUUUUUCUUUCUUCUUGUCUAUUUAAUUGAAAAUAUAUUGCUAAGCUAAGGGGAGGAGAAACUUUUUGGUCACCCCUUAGGGGUGGGAAAAGUUCAUUACAAGUCUGUAGAUCAUGAACUGUUGUCAGUAGUUUACAACAGUGCAUGAGAGAAAAGCUGAUUUUAGCAUAGAUGAUGAGAAAUACACAAAAAAGUAUUGGAAAAAAUGAAGAAAGGUUCUGAAAGAGGUACAAUUAAAAAAGUUACAUCUUUG